CAAAAACAUGUCCUUAAGGUCUGACCUGCCGGCCGCGGCCGUGCAAAGGUAGAAUAAUCAUUAGUCUUUUAAUAGAGGGCUGGAAUGAAAGGUUUAACGAGGAAUUGACUGUCUCAUCUUAUUUGAGAAUUUAAUUUUUUAGUUAAAAAGCUUAAAUUUUAUUGGUAGACGAGAAGACCCUAUAGAUCUUUAUAUAUAUUUUGUUGGGGUGACAAAAACAUUUUUUAUUUAUAAAACAUUGAUUUAUGAUUAUUAGAUCCAUUAUUAUUGAUUGUUAGAUUAAGUUACCUUAGGGAUAACAGCGUAAUCCCCUUCCAGAGUUCACAUUUACUUGCGACCUCGAUGUUGGAUUAAGAUAAUAGUUAGGUGUAGCCGCUUAAUAUAUAGGUCUGUUCGACCUUUAAAUUCUUACAUGAUCUGAG
rnacentral:rRNA from 1 species